rnacentral:rRNA from 1 species
AACGAACGCUGGCGGCAUGCCUAACACAUGCAAGUCGAACGAGACCUUCGGGUCUAGGGGCGCACGGGUGCGUAACGCGUGGGAACCUUCCCUUAGGUUCGGAAUAACUCCCCGAAAGGGGUGCUAAUACCAGAUAAUGUCUUCGGACCAAAGAUUUAUCGCCUUUGGAUGGGCCCGCGUUGGAUUAGCUAGUUGGUAGGGUAAAAGCCUACCAAGGCGACGAUCCAUAGCUGGUCUGAGAGGAUGAUUAGCCACACUGGGAGUGAGACACGGCCCAGAAUCCUACGCGAGGGAGCAGUGGGGAAUAUUGGACAAUGGGCGAAAGCCUGAUCCAGCAAUGCCGCGUGAGUGAUGAAGGCCUUAGGGUUGUAAAGCUCUUUUACCCGUGAUGAUAAUGACAGUACCGGGAGAAUAAGCUCCGGCUAACUACGUG